rnacentral:rRNA from 1 species
AGUAAAUAGAUACCCUGGUAGUCCACGCCGUAAACGAUGUCGACUUGGAGGUUGUGCCCUUGAGGCGUGGCUUCCGGAGCUAAACGCGUUAAGUCGACCGCCUGGGGAGUACGGCCGCAAGGUUAAAACUCAAAUGAAUUGACGGGGGCCCGCACAAGCGGUGGGAGCAUGUGGUUUAAUUCGAUGCAACGCGAAGAACCUUACCUACUCUUGACAUCCAGAGAACUUAGCAGAGAUGCUUUGGUGCCUUCGGGAACUCUGAGACAGGUGCUGCAUGGCUGUCGUCAGCUCGUGUUGUGAAAUGUUGGGUUAAGUCCCGCAACGAGCGCAACCCUUAUCCUUUGUUGCCAGCGGUUAGGCCGGGAACUCAAAGGAGACUGCCAGUGAUAAACUGGAGGAAGGUGGGGAUGACGUCAAGUCAUCAUGGCCCUUACGAGUAGGGCUACACACGUGCUACAAUGGCGCAUACAAAGAGAAGCGACCUCGCGAGAGCAAGCGGACCUCAUAAAGUGCGUCGUAGUCC